GACGAACGCUGGCGGCGUGCUUAACACAUGCAAGUCGAACGGAGCUUCUUGGAUAGAGACUUCGGUCAAUUGAAUUGAAGCUUAGUGGCGGACUGGUGAGUAACGCGUGAGGAACCUGCCUUUCAGAGGGGGACAACAGUUGGAAACGACUGCUAAUACCGCAUAACAUAUUCGGGGGACAUCCCCUGAAUAUCAAAGCUUUAUGUGCUGAGAGAUGGCCUCGCGUCUGAUUAGCUAGUUGGUGGGGUAACGGCCCACCAAGGCGACGAUCAGUAGCCGACCUGAGAGGGUGACCGGCCACAUUGGGACUGAGACACGGCCCAAACUCCUACGGGAGGCAGCAGUGGGGAAUAUUGCACAAUGGGGGAAACCCUGAUGCAGCGACGCCGCGUGAGUGAAGAAGUAUUUCGGUAUGUAAAGCUCUAUCAGCAGGGAAGAAAAUGACGGUACCUGACUAAGAAGCCCCGGCUAACUACGUGCCAGCAGCCG
rnacentral:rRNA from 1 species